rnacentral:rRNA from 1 species
AUUGAACGCUGGCGGCAGGCCUAACACAUGCAAGUCGAGCGAGCGGCGGACGGGUGCGUAAUGUGUGGGAAACUGCCUGAUGGAGGGGGAUAACUACUGGAAACGGUAGCUAAUAACGCAUACCAUCAGAUGUGCCCAGAUGGGAUUAGCGAGUAGGUGGGGUAAUGGCUCACGUAGGCGAAGAUACCUAGCUGGUCUGAGAGGAUGACCAGCCACACUGGAACUGAGACACGGUCCAGACUCAUACGGGAGGCAGCAGUGGGGAAUAUUGCACAAUGGGCGCAAGCCUGAUGCAGCCAUGCCGCGUGUAUGAAGAAGGCCUUCGGGUUGUAAAGUACUUUCAGCGAGGAGGCGUUACUCGCAGAAGAAGCACCGGCUAACUCCGUGCCAGCAGCCGCGGUAAUAC